UACAGAGGGGGCGAGCGUUGUUCGGAAUUACUGGGCGUAAAGGGCGCGUAGGCGGCCCGCUAAGUCGUACGUGAAAUCCCCAGGCUCAACCUGGGAACUGCGUCCGAUACUGGCAGGCUUGAAUCCGGGAGAGGGAUGUGGAAUUCCUGGUGUAGCGGUGAAAUGCGCAGAUAUCAGGAGGAACACCGGUGGCGAAGGCGGAUCUCUGGGCCGUAACUGACGCUGAGGAGCGAAAGCAUGGGGAGCGAACAGG
rnacentral:rRNA from 1 species